AGCGGAGGAAAAGAAACCAACAGGGAUUGCCUUAGUAACGGCGAGUGAAGCGGCAAAAGCUCAAAUUUGAAAUCUGGCGCCUUCGGUGUCCGAGUUGUAAUUUGAAGAAGGUAACUUUGGAGUUGGCUCUUGUCUAUGUUCCUUGGAACAGGACGUCACAGAGGGUGAGAAUCCCGUGCGAUGAGAUGCCCAAUUCUAUGUAAAGUGCUUUCGAAGAGUCGAGUUGUUUGGGAAUGCAGCUCUAAGUGGGUGGUAAAUUCCAUCUAAAGCUAAAUAUUGGCGAGAGACCGAUAGCGAACAAGUACAGUGAUGGAAAGAUGAAAAGAACUUUGAAAAGAGAGUGAAAAAGUACGUGAAAUUGUUGAAAGGGAAGGGCUUGAGAUCAGACUUGGUAUUUUGCGAUCCUUUCCUUCUUGGUUGGGUUCUCCGCAGCUUACUGGGCCAGCAUCGGUUUGGAUGGUAGGAUAAUGAUUAAGGAAUGUGGCUCUACUUCGGUGGAGUGUUAUAGCCUUGGUUGAUACUGCCUGUCUAGACCGAGGACUGCGUC
rnacentral:rRNA from 1 species